rfam:Ovis aries breed Texel chromosome 15, whole genome shotgun sequence.
UCCCUGGUGGCUCAGCUGGUAAAGCAUCUGUCUACAGUGUGGGAGACCCAGGUUCAAUCCCUGGGUUGGGAA